AAAAAAAAAGAAGUUGUUGAAAACCCACAGACACCAUUCAGUGGCUGGUGCAUUCAUACCCCAGUGGCUAUGAGUGUUGGUAGCUAAUGGAAUGCAGCCCUUGCUCUCUGAGAAAUGGUUCUCUGCCAGAGGGAGCCACUUCAAUUUGGCUGUGAAUCCCCCACACCACAGGGAAGCCUCCAGCUAAUGUUUUCCUUACAUGGGCAUCAAAAUGCCAAACCCACUUGUCUCCAGGUGGAACAAACUCCAGCAUGCCACUCAUAGGAUUAGAUUAAAGUCAGUGUCCAGCUCCAUCUUUUUUCUCUUUUUUCUCUUUGCUCUGACCUGUCUGCCUUUUCUCUCCUCCUCUUGAGAACACUAGCUCCGUAAAUCACUUGCAGAAGAUUCUCCAUAUCAGGGUUGGCUUCCAGGGAACCUAACCUCAGAUUGCGUCUUAGCUUUGAUUAGUACUCAAAUCUCACUGUUCAAACUAUCUCCAGAAAGAUAAGUCGUGGCAGGUCAAAAGAGGGUAUGUGAUACUGUGGAACAAGCAUGAAAUUGCCCUAAAAUAAUCAGUGGUGAGCUCUGAUUCUGUCUAGCUAUGUCACCUACAGUGAAUGUUGUAAACUGUCUGAACUGAAGCAGUGUUUCAUUCCAGACAGUGAACACCCAGUGCCUGGGAUUUCCCUCCCUCGUCCAUUUUUUCUUCUAUAACUAUAAUGAUGGAGGGAGAAAGAUGGUAAAGGGAGACAGAAAACCUCAAAAGAUGAGGAAGUGCUGUUAAGGUGUAUUGUUUCAAAUCCUUCUCUUCCCACAAUCUGGCCAAGGAUGGACAAGAUAAAAGUUCUAGUAUUUGAUAAAAAUCCACCCAGGCUCUGUUUCCUGAGUUGGAGUCACAGACCCUUCAAGGUGUUCCCCUCAGAGAUAUUGGCUCGUCCUUUCUAAGGUGUUCAACACUAACUACACAGACAAGUUUUUGUUUACCCUUUCUGAUCUCCCCUAUCUCGUUUGAUUGAUGGCACCUAAGGCAGGAGAAAAAGCAACCUUUUUAGAGUGUUAAUAUGCCCUCCUGGGGCACCAGCCUCCUUAUGUCCACUCUGUCCAGUUGUUUCUUCUUGCUUGCCUCUAGGGAAACCUCUAAAGAAGCUAUGUCAGCCAUGUAGAAAUGGUUUUAUCGGGAGAGGGGAUGUGUAUAUAUGCACAUCUUAUGGUACAUAAUGAGUCAACAACAUUUAUGUGAUAGUAGUACUGUAAAAUUAUACCACCUCAUGACCUCACGGUCACCUUGGUCUGUGUAAGUGCAGUCUGUGAUGCUUAAGGACAAAACCACCUAAGGAUGCAUUUCUCAGAACAUACCCCCAUCAGUAAGAAGCAUAUGACUGUCGAUGUUGAGCACAUUAAAUACAAUCAACUCUGUCAAAUGAACCAAAGAACGCACUGUGCACAGUUUUCUCAUGCCAUGCGGCAGAGUGGAAGGCGUUGCUUGUUUUAUUUAGGAUGAGUAGGACCCCGCCACACUGUCUUGGUAUUUUGUACUCUGUGAUUGGCAUUAUUACACUUGUAACUGCAAGUCUUCUGCUUCCCUUUCAGUUACGGACGAGUUUAUGCUGCCGACCCCUACCACCACACACUUGCUCCAGCCCCCACCUACGGCGUUGGUGCCGUGAAUGCUUUUGCACCCUUGACUGAUGCCAAGACUAGGAGCCAUGCUGAUGAUGUGGGUCUCGUUCUUUCUUCAUUGCAGGCUAGUAUAUACCGAGGGGGAUACAACCGUUUUGCUCCAUACUAAAUGAGAAAAACCAUUAAAAACCAAACAAGCAAAACCUUCCAAUGUGGGGAGAAAGGAAGGUUCCCGAGGCCUGAGUAUUGCAGUACAUGCAGUAGAGUAUCACUUUAGCAACUCUAAAAAAUAAAAAAAAAGAGGAAACAAAUUACAUUUUUUAUCUUAUACCUCAGAUAUUUUGUUCUGUGUAUUUUAAUAUUGUGGGUCUUUCAUUUCUGAAGGUUCUGUAGUUUGGUUGCCGGCUGUAGGAUUUUUUUGUGGUUGAUCUAGAAAGACACUAGAUAUGAAUUAAAAAAAAAAACCUGGUUUAGGGCCAUAUCCAGAGUGCUAUAUUAUGUAAAUGAAUUAUAUAUGCUGACUAUGAAGCUUCUGGGGUUAAGCUGUCUGGGAAGAGUGUAAGUGACUUAGUAGUCAUUCUUUUCUGCAUCUGCAUUAUUUUAUUUUGUGAAAGGGGAGGUCGGGGAUGGGGGGGAGCCUAUGGGAUUGGGACUGGGGUUUAACAAAAGAAGAAAAAUAUAGUAACUGAGAAUCUAAACGACCCACUGCACCAAUCAUAUAUAAUGGUUCUAAGUUACUCAUUGCCAGUUCAAGCCAAAGGUUAUAUGGUAAGGGGCUGCUCCUAGCAGUAGUAUCCACUGGAGUCCAAGUUGGAUGAAGCUGUAUAAACCUACCCUUUAAACCAUUCCACCCGGCAGUAUUCAGCUUCUUAACCAGCUGCUAGUUAUUUAGGCAAAAACUACUAGUUAGGCCAUCAACAAGCAUUCUUUUUAUAUUUCUUCCAGUAUAAUAAAUUAUUGAUAUCAUUGCUGACUUUUAUAUUAUGGGAGGGAAAAAUAACAUUAAUAAAAAGGUGAUAAAAAGCACUGUUUCUAUUUUUUUCUUUUUUUCCAAAAAAAGAAAGUAAUAAAAACUUAAAUUCUUUGUACCAGUUAAAAAAUGUAUAAAAUUUACAUCUGUGCAGUGGAGUUGUUAAGUUCUAGAAACAGUCCAUGAAGCUUUAGUUUUAGCUUAGUAGAACAACUAUUAGAGACAGACGUAUAAUUUUUAUGGAAUUACAUGAUAAUCAUAUUCAGAUUUAUAGACGCAUUUUACAAGUAUUGCAAUCAUUGAGUAGAGAUAAUCAUGGUAUUUUCAUCAGCGUGGUACUUUUUGAAACUUGAGUACGUUGUGUGAGCAAUCUGCAAUUUUUCAGUCCGUGAGAGCCUGCCCUUCCACCUCUCCCCCAUUCCCCAGGACUAUCUUAAAUCAAUAUUUUUAGUUCUAUCUCCAAGGCCCAGGACACUUGUCAGAAGGAAGCAAAAAAAGUAGAUCCACCCUCUUCAUCCCUAUAGAACAAAAUCCCCCGAUCCUUUCUGGGAUGUAGGGCCAGAGUGACACAGCCGAAAAAUUGCAGUUUGUCUAUACUUCUUCUGUUUGAACUCUUCCCAUGUUGUCCUGUUUACAAGUUAACUUAAGUUGGGGUAUCUGUCACAGGUCUUCCUGUUUUUGUAUUUAAAUUUAAAAAAUUAGCAGCAAGCUGUCCCCCCAAGUAGUUUUGCUGCCAUACUUAAUAAGUCCUCGUGUGCAGUGCAAGCCCAAAAGCACGCACUUUAGUAAGUUAUCAACUCACGCUAUGAACCUGCCAAUCCGCUGUAACAACUCUGCUUUAAAAACAAAACCAAACAAAACUUUAAAAAAAAAAAAAACAGUGUUUGUGACCCAGCUUUCUCUUGUCAUCCUUUGUGCAUGCUGUAAGAUCAGUUGGAUAUUAAAACCAUCAAUAAAGUUUCACAAGAUUUGAAAACAAAGUUUCUGUACCUUCGAUGUCUAAGAGAUGAUAGUAAUCUUGGAACAAGAAACAAGGGGGGAGGGGGAAGGCUGAGAGAAAAAUAAAAAGCAUAGAAGUUGUUCAUUGUUGGUGGGAAGGGGAGGGGCCAGGAUGUGUUUUCUAGCAUAACUGAGUUGUCCUCAUUCCCCCACCUAGAAAACAAUGUGGUGAUGGUGGGUGCCUAGCAGAUGUUAUUCAAGGGAACCGUUUAUUACAAUGCUAUGACAUGCGACCUCAGAAGGGAUAAAGACAGUAGGAUCAGGGGCUGUGGAACAUAGCAUAGAUGUCUCCCAAUUGCCCCCGCUUUCAAAAUCCAGAAUUUGUAUUGUGUUUGAAAUCAUGAACAUAAGAAUUUUUACUGUGUUGGUUAAAGUAAAACUUCAUUUGCAGUUUUGAUUUUCAUCAAUGAGCUGUACUUUCCCCUACGAUUGUAUGUAGUUUAAUAAAAUCAUUUAGAGUAAACGGGUACCAACGGAUGUUACAGAUCCUUUCGUCUAGGCGCUCUGCCAAGAUGUCAGUCAUUUUAAAAUGUAUGUCAGAGACGUAAACAAACAUUUUGGAUUUUUUUAAAUGGUAUUUAUUUGGAAUGUUUUCAUUUAUCUAAAUAACUAUUGCUAUUAUGAAUUAUGGAAAAAAGAUUAAUAUGUGUGGCAUAUAGUGACUUCUUAACACACACAUCAUGCAAUCUGCAAACCCACAAAAUGUGCAUAUCCGUCUUUAGAAAUUAGUGUUUAUAUCACUUACAGUGGUUUGUGAAUAAAGAAAACUGGUUUGUAAUAUCAAAAAAUAAAAGCUUAGUCUGAAAAGG